CCCUUAGAUGUUCUGGGCUGCACGCGUGCUACAAUGGCGCUUGCAACAAGUCUUGCCAACCCGAUAGGGUGAGCGGAUCUUUGAAGAGGCGUCGUGAUCGGGACAGUUGAUUGCAAUUAUUCGACUCGAACGAGGAAUUCCUUGUAAUCGCGAUUCAUCAUAUCGCGCUGAAUACGUCCCUGCCCUUUGUACACACCGCCCGUCGCUCCUACCGAUUGAGCGAUCCGGUGAAUGUUUUGGACUGGUGUCAGAAGCGGUUCGCUCCUGACACUACGAAAUUUUGUAAACCUUAUCGCUUAGAGGAAGGAAAAGUCGUAACA
rnacentral:rRNA from 1 species